rnacentral:rRNA from 1 species
GACGAACGCUGGCGGCGUGCCUAAUACAUGCAAGUAGAACGCACAGUUUAUACCGUAGCUUGCUACACAAUAGCCUGUGAGUUGCGAACGGGUGAGUAAUGCGUAGGUUAUCUGCCUGGUAGCGGGGGAUAACUCUUGGAAAAGUUAGCUAAUACCGCAUAAUAUUGAUUAUUGCAUGAUAAUUGAUUGAAAUACGCUAUUGCAUCACUACCAGAUGUACCUGCGUUGUAUUAGCUAGUUGGUGAGGUAACGGCUCACCCAGGGGACGAUACAUAGCCGACCGUGAGAGGUGGUCGGCCACAAUGGGACUGGGACACGGCCCAGACUCCUACGGGGAGCAGCAGUAGGGGAUCUUCGGCAAUUGACGAAAGUCUGACCGAGCAACGCCGCGUUAGUGAAUAAGGUUUUCGGAUCGUAAAACUCUGUUGUAAGAGAAGAACGAGUGUUAGAGUGAAAAGUUCACACUGUGACGGUAUCUUACCAGAAAGGGACGGCUAACUACGUG